GUGCGCCGUCCAGCUCGGUUGGAACGUGUCAGUGCUACGUCGACCGGACCCAGUAUGGGGGCUCGUGUGCUCAUCGUGUUGGCUUUGGCUGUAGUGGUGUGUCAAGCCGCUUCAACAAGGCGAGUAAUUCCCGGUGUUUGUCUGGACGGUGAGAGGAAGACCGACGGUUGUAACCGGUGCUCCUGCUUGGGAGGCGCCUGGGCUUGCACCCUCAGAGCCUGCGUCGACCCCGCAGAUACAUUUCCUGGAUCGCUGACAUGCAAGCUGGCUCCCCACAUCAAAGGGUGUUGAAAAAUUCCGCCACGAUAUCAAGAAUACCUGCUUGACUAAAUUAGGCAGGACAAUUGUUGACUGAUCAAAGAACAUGACAUGGCAACCAAGACCCGAGUUCGUAUGCACAAUUUCUUUCCUGAUUGUACGCCUUGUAUUACAUCUGAGGGGCAUGUUUAGGAAGUUAAGCCGUUCGUUCAUUGUAUGCGCGACUGAAUUUUUCCACUUUUAAUUGGAAAUGUAUGUCCUAAAAACGUCUGUCAGGUGAGACAAAUAUAAACGGAACACCGCAUUGAUGUAUGACUGGCUAAAAGCAUCGAAAGGAUUUUACUCCAACGAGCGAACAAGCGGGCUGAAAACUGAUGAGGUGGGCCUUUAAUUUGCAUUUAACAAACCUUGCAUUGAAACAAAAACUUUCUGCUAAAGUGCACGAAUGUGUGUGUCUGAGCCUAAAUCUAUUUCUAAAUACAUAUAGUCUGAUAUGCAACAUCGAAUACUAAACUAGCAUAUAGGUACCAUGUAUGUAUGUACACGCAUGUGUGUCACACUUGUAUGGAUAUACGC